CGGGUGAGUAACACGUGAGUAACCUGCCCUUCACUCUGGGAUAACUCCGGGAAACCGGUGCUAAUACUGGAUAUGACCUGAACAGGCAUCUGUACCGGGUGGAAAGAUUUAUUGGUGGGGGAUGGACUCGCGGCCUAUCAGCUUGUUGGUGAGGUAAUGGCUCACCAAGGCGACGACGGGUAGCCGGCCUGAGAGGGCGAUCGGCCACACUGGGACUGAGACACGGCCCAG
rnacentral:rRNA from 1 species